ensembl:lncRNA
GGGGGAGAGGGCUCAGGCAGGUGCCAGAUUCAGCUGGUGGGAAGGCCAGGUUCUGAAAAGCAUGAACAUGAAUUGUCUAAUUAGAGGUGACAGGGAGUGGGAAAGAGACUAGACUGGGGCAGGAGGGAGGAGAGAAGCGUGACAGUCCCAAGCCUGACCCAGCUCUUUCUCAUCUCCGGUGGCAGGCCAGGGUGGGCUGGGGUGGCCCCCAGCAGGUGUCCUGGCGCCCAGGAGCUCAGGACUGCUAUGCAGAAGGAGGUCUGGCUGGGAGGAGAAAACGGCCCCCACUGGAGUCUGUGCAGCCUCUUUGGCUCUAGAUACAAUUUCAGCAAGAAGAUGCUGGACAGUUUCUAUGAUUAGAAGAGGCACUUAAGAAGAGGAAAGGGUUUCUCCAGAGAGGUUCCUGGUCAUCUGAGGGCUUUCUGGCAGCUCUCAAGUUGUCGUCAACCCAGCUUCCCAACCAGAAAGAAAAUAGAGCUUCUCUCUCUUGGAUCCAGCAUGAAAGUUCCCAGAAAAAGAUUUUGCAUUGGCCCAGCCUGAGGGGUGCCCUAUGUCCUAGGGGUCCACUAGGCCCAUCAUAGUGGUCCUGGAAACAGGAUGACCCAUCAUGAGGUGAGUAGGCUUCCUCUACUACGAUGUGCUGCCUCAUCACAGGCCAGAAGCAAUGGGGCCAACUGACCAUGAAGUGAAACCUACAAAAUGACCAAUCCAUGGAAAGAGCAGCUCUCAGGACUGCUUUGCUCGUCUGGACAAUGGAGAUGGCACCUGCUCAUUAAGCCAUUGGGAGAUUCAAUAAAAUAACUAAGUUAAAUCUCACAAUUCUUGGCUCCAGUAACACAUCCAACACAUUGCCUAGCAAUGAUGUGCAAAUGUAUCAGUGAUCGCUGGACGCAGUUCUCUCCCACGCAGCUUCAUGUGGGAUUUUCCUCCAUUUUAACCAGCAGAAUGCUCUUAAUUACCAGAACAGCUUCUUGUACUGGGGAAACAAAAAUACAAGAGCAACUGGUACACAGAGUGGUCACAUCUAGGCAGAGUAGGAGAGACGAAUAACGCCAGGGGAAAAUGCUCUUUUUUUACCUUGUGCAAAGCCCUUAUUUAUACCUUGCUCACUUUCAAAAAUGAUUAAUGAUGCUGUAGUAGGAUUUAAAGAGUGAAAAUCUUGCUUCAGAUUCCUACCUCACCUUGUAGGUAAAUAAUUU